rnacentral:rRNA from 1 species
GAGGGGCCCGCACAAGCGGUGGAGCAUGUGGUUUAAUUCGACGCAACGCGAAGAACCUUACCAGGGCUUGACAUCCCCUGACCGCGUAUGAAAGUACGUUUUCACCUCGGGUGACAGGGAGACAGGUGGUGCAUGGUUGUCGUCAGCUCGUGUCGUGAGAUGUUGGGUUAAGUCCCGCAACGAGCGCAACCCCUACGUUUAGUUGCUAACGCGUGAAGGCGAGCACUCUAGACGAACUGCCGUUGACAAACGGAGGAAGGUGGGAUGACGUCAAAUCAUCAUGCCCCUUAUGUUCUGGGCUACACACGUGCUACAAUGGCCGGUACAGACGGACGCAAAGCCGCGAGGUGGAGCAAAUCCUAAAAAGCCGGUCUCAGUUCGGAUUGCAGUCUGCAACUCGACUGCAUGAAGCCGGAGUUGCUAGUAACCGCAGGUCAGCAAUACUGCGGUGAAUACGUUCCCGGGUCUU